GAUGAACGCUGGCGGCGUGCCUAAUACAUGCAAGUCGAGCGAACGGACGAGAAGCUUGCUUCUCUGAUGUUAGCGGCGGACGGGUGAGUAACACGUGGAUAACCUACCUAUAAGACUGGGAUAACUUCGGGAAACCGGAGCUAAUACCGGAUGAUAUUUUGAACCGCAUGGUUCAAAAGUGAAAGACGGUCUUGCUGUCACUUAUAGAUGGAUCCGCGCUGCAUUAGCUAGUUGGUAAUGUAACGGCUUACCAAGGCAACGAUGCAUAGCCGACCUGAGAGGGUGAUCGGCCACACUGGAACUGAGACACGGUCCAGACUCCUACGGGAGGCAGCAGUAGGGAAUCUUCCGCAAUGGGCGAAAGCCUGACGGAGCAACGCCGCGUGAGUGAUGAAGGUCUUCGGAUCGUAAAACUCUGUUAUUAGGGAAGAACUUAUGUGUAAGUAACUGUGCACAUCUUGACGAUACCUAAUCAGAAAGCCACGGCUAACUACGUG
rnacentral:rRNA from 1 species